GUGGGGAAUAUUGGACAAUGGGCGCAAGCCUGAUCCAGCCAUGCCGCGUGAGUGAUGAAGGCCUUAGGGUUGUAAAGCUCUUUCAGUAGGGAAGAUAAUGACGGUACCUACAGAAGAAGCCCCGGCUAACUUCGUGCCAGCAGCCGCGGUAAUACGAAGGGGGCUAGCGUUGUUCGGAUUUACUGGGCGUAAAGCGCACGUAGGCGGAUUGGUCAGUUAGAGGUGAAAUCCUGGAGCUCAACUCCAGAACUGCCUUUAAUACUGCCAGUCUAGAGUCCAGAAGAGGUGAGUGGAACUCCUAGUGUAGAGGUGGAAUUCGUAGAUAUUAGGAAGAACACCAGUGGCGAAGGCGGCUCACUGGUCUGGUACUGACGCUGAGGUGCGAAAGCGUGGGGAGCAAACAGGAUUAGAUACCCGAGUAGUCC
rnacentral:rRNA from 1 species